UACAGAGGGUGCUAGCGUUGUUCGGAAUCAUUGGGCGUAAAGGGCGUGUAGGCGGUUUGUUAAGUCAUGUGUGAAAGCCCCCGGCUCAACCGGGGAACGACGCAUGAAACUGGCAAGCUAGAGUACCGAAGAGGGGGGUGGAAUUCCCGGUGUAGCGGUGAAAUGCGUAGAUAUCGGUAGGAACACCAGUGGCGAAGGCGGUCUCCUGGGGCAUUCUUGACGCUGAGGCGGCGAAAGCUGGGGGAGCAAACGGG
rnacentral:rRNA from 1 species